UACAGAGGGCGCGAGCGUUGUCCGGAAUCACUGGGCGUAAAGGGCGCGUAGGCGGCGGCAUAAGGCCGUGGUGAAAGUCUGGGGCUCAACCCCAGAUCGGCCAUGGCGACUGUGUCGCCUGGGUACUGUAGAGGCAGGUGGAAUUCCGGGUGUAGCGGUGGAAUGCGUAGAUAUCAGGAGGAACACCGGUGGCGAAGGCGGGUCUCUGGGCCGAUACUGACGCUGAGGAGCGAAAGCGUGGGGAGCGAACAGG
rnacentral:rRNA from 1 species